AUUAAUAGCUGCUGAUGGACACAUUAAUCCUAAGGAUUACUCGAUAACAAUAUAUACGGGUGAUCUUGGGAGAGCACAGACUAUAAAGAAUAUGCUGGAAAAGCUAACCUGCAAUAAAGUUAGUAUCAGAAACCAUAAUGGAGCAUAUGAAGUCACUGUAACAGAUAAGAAGCUUACAUUAAAGUUUUCCACUAAAUACAUGAUCCCUAUUGGUAGGAAGUCUGAACAAAUAAUAUUACCAACAACCAAUAUUAAUAAGAGGGAAUUAUUAGAAUUCAUAGCUGGAUACUUUGAUGGUGACGGCUCAAUAUACAGACGUAUACAUAGGGCAAGGGAUGGUAGAAUCAGAGUUUACUACGAGGUAAAAGUUAAGAGUAAGAGCUUAUACUUCCUUAAUCAAUUGAGAAACCUACUUGCCUCAUACAACAUAGUUUCUCGUGUGAAAGUAUAUAAAAACAUGAUUCCGUACCUUGUUGUUUCACGUAAAGGCGAUGUUAUACGGUUCUUUAGAAUUUUUAAACCAAGAUUUAAAAACCUUUAAAACCCCUAAACCCUGCCUGGGAUCCUCCACCCCAAGGGGCGAAAUCCGAUAAUCCCGGGAGGACCACCAGUGGCGAAGGCGCUCGGCUGGAACGCCCCCGACGGUGAGGGGCGAAAGCCGGGGGAGCGAACCGGAUUAGAUACCCGGGUAGUCCCGGCUGUAAACGAUGCGGGCUAGCUGUUGGACGGGCUUAGAGCCCGUCCAGUGGCGCAGGGAAGCCGUUAAGCCCGCCGCCUGGGGAGUACGGCCGCAAGGCUGAAACUUAAAGGAAUUGGCGGGGGAGCACCACAAGGGGUGGAGCCUGCGGCUCAAUUGGAGUCAACGCCAGGAAUCUUACCGGGGGCGACAGCAGGAUGAUGGCCAGGCUAACGACCUUGCCGGACACGCUGAGAGGAGGUGCAUGGCCGUCGCCAGACACGCCUAUGGCAAGAUCAAGGAUGCCAUGGCGUGGGCGAACUCGUGUUGUGAAAUGUCUGGUUAAGUCCAGCAACGAGCGAGACCCCCACCCCUAGUUGCUACCCGGCUCUUUUGGGUCGGGGCACACUAGGGGGACUGCCGCCGUUAAAGGCGGAGGAAGGAGGGGGCCACGGCAGGUCAGCAUAAGGGUCUGGCUUUAAGGCCGACCCUGCUGAAGCCCCGAAACCCCCGGGCUGCACGCGGGCUACAAUGGCGGGGACAGCGGGAUCCGACCCCGAAAGGGGGAGGUAAUCCCUCAAACCCCGCCGUAGUUGGGAUCGAGGACUGUAACUCGUCCUCGUGAACGAGGAAUCCCUAGUAACCGCGCGUCAACAUCGCGCGGUGAAUACGUCCCUGCUCCUUGCACACACCGCCCGUCGCUCCAUCCGAGUGAAGAGGGGGUGAGGCCCACUCUGCCGGGGUUUCCCGGUAGGGUGGGUCGAACCUCCUCUUCGCGAGGGGGGAGAAGUCGUAACAAGGUAGCCGUACCGGAAGGUGCGGCUG
rnacentral:rRNA from 1 species